rnacentral:rRNA from 1 species
GAUGAACGCUGGCGGCGUGCUUAACACAUGCAAGUCGAACGGAAAGGCUCCUGCUUGCAGGGGUACUCGAGUGGCGAACGGGUGAGUAACACGUGGGUGAUCUGCCCUGCACUUCGGGAUAGGCCUGGGAAACUGGGUCUAAUACCGGAUAGGACCACAUUUUGGAUGGUGUGGUGGAAAGUUUUUCGGUGUGGGAUGAGCUCGCGGCCUAUCAGCUUGUUGGUGGGGUAAUGGCCUACCAAGGCGUCGACGGGUAGCCGGCCUGAGAGGGUGUACGGCCACAUUGGGACUGAGAUACGGCCCAGACUCCUACGGGAGGCAGCAGUGGGGAAUAUUGCACAAUGGGCGCAAGCCUGAUGCAGCGACGCCGCGUGGGGGAUGACGGCCUUCGGGUUGUAAACUCCUUUCGCUAGGGACGAAGCGUUUUUGUGACGGUACCUGGAGAAGAAGCACCGGCUAACUACGUG